rnacentral:rRNA from 1 species
CUGCAGAAUAAGAGCACACAGAACAUCAACAACAAGCUCCAACUGUUGAUGAAGAGCAACAAGUACACGCUUGUCUACAAGACCGUUCUCAAGACGCUUCUGGAGCUCAAGGGUACGUGUGGGAUCGCCCCUCUUUUUUUCAUGCCCUUUUUCUCGGUUCGUCCGAUCAGUUGCAUUGAAUGGUUGGUUACUCUGUUCGUCUACCAUGCUUUGAAUGUUACGAUGGUCAAUGCCAUGCUGAUUUGGAGUUAA